rnacentral:tRNA from 1 species
GGUGGGGACAGCUCAGUGGUAAAGCCCGUGCUUAGCACGCACGAGGUCCUGGGUUCAAUCCCCAGCGCCCCCA